rnacentral:rRNA from 1 species
UGAGAGGAUGAUCAGUCACACUGGAACUGAGACACGGUCCAGACUCCUACGGGAGGCAGCAGUGGGGAAUAUUGGACAAUGGGCGAAAGCCUGAUCCAGCCAUGCCGCGUGUGUGAAGAAGGUCUUCGGAUUGUAAAGCACUUUAAGUUGGGAGGAAGGGUUGCUGAUUAAUACUCUGCAAUUUUGACGUUACCGACAGAAUAAGCACCGGCUAACUCUGUGCCAGCAGCCGCGGUAAUACAGAGGGUGCAAGCGUUAAUCGGAAUUACUGGGCGUAAAGCGCGCGUAGGUGGUUUGUUAAGUUGGAUGUGAAAGCCCCGGGCUCAACCUGGGAACUGCAUCCAAAACUGGCAAGCUAGAGUAGGGCAGAGGGUGGUGGAAUUUCCUGUGUAGCGGUGAAAAUGCGUAGAUAUAGGAAGGAACACCAGUGGCGAAGGCGACCACCUGGGCUCAUACUGA